rnacentral:rRNA from 1 species
AGUGAACGCUGGCGGUAGGCCUAACACAUGCAAGUCGAACGGCAGCACAGUAAGAGCUUGCUCUUACGGGUGGCGAGUGGCGGACGGGUGAGGAAUACAUCGGAAUCUACUUUUUCGUGGGGGAUAACGUAGGGAAACUUACGCUAAUACCGCAUACGACCUACGGGUGAAAGCAGGGGAUCUUCGGACCUUGCGCGAUUGAAUGAGCCGAUGUCGGAUUAGCUAGUUGGCGGGGUAAAGGCCCACCAAGGCGACGAUCCGUAGCUGGUCUGAGAGGAUGGUCGGCCACACGGGAACUGAGACACGGUCCAGACUCCUACGGGAGGCAGCAGUGGGGAAUAUGGGACAAUGGGCGCAAGCCUGAUCCAGCCAUACCGCGUGGGUGAAGAAGGCCUUCGGGUUGUAAAGCCCUUUUGUUGGGAAAGAAAAGCAGCAGGUUAAUACCCCGCUGUUCUGACGGUACCCAAAGAAUAAGCACCGGCUAACUUCGUG